UUACGACCACAUCACGUUGAAACACCGAUUCCCGUACUAUCGCCGAAGUUAAGAAACGUUGAAUCUAGUCAGUACCUCGAUGGGUAACCGCUUGGAACUUCCAGGUGUUGUAAG